GGCUACAAGCCCAUGGUAUCCCUUCAGGACUUCUGCCUAGGUCUCCAAUCUCCUUUCAGGUUUUAACUGUGCCUCUGAAACUACAGUAGCCAUCUUGAAAGAACAGUUCCAGACUUCAUCUGCUUCUGAAACCAAGAAUUCUAUGGACAGCAUGAGGGAUCAGUGCCAGCAACUCAGGAUCAGACACUGGGAGAGAAACUACACUGUACUUGCAUACAUUCAGGAAAUCUCACCAAGGGAGCUAUUGAGCCUCACAAUACAAUAAACUCCUUUACUUCAAUAUUCAAACAAGAUUUGGGAUCACGUACGCAGAAAGACAUACCCUGCAAAACUGAAAAACAAACAAACAAGCCAACCUAAACAGAAAAUGGCAAAUGCAAGUAAAAAGUAAAAUACGGAUGCAAGAGUUAGGGUGUGAAAUGCAAAUGAAAAACGGAGUUGGUAGGAAAGUGAACGGUCAGUCUGACUGAGCUGCACAACAGUGCCUUCCUCACACGAGAGGUUUCCUGGGCAGAGCUAAAGCAUAG
ensembl:antisense Gm15640 predicted gene 15640